UCCGGUUUAACACCGGCGGUCUCCUUUGAGUGCCCAACUAAAUGGUGGCAACGAAGGAUAAGGGUUGCGCUCGUUAAGGGACUUAACCCGACAUCUCACGAUACGAGCUGACGACAGCCAUGCAGCACCUGUCUCCCAGUCCCCGAAGGGAAAGCCCUAUCUCUAGGGUUGUCUGGGGAUUUCAAACCCAGGUAAGGUUUUUCGCGUUGCAUCGAAUUAAACCACAUGCUCCACCGCUUGUGCGGGCCCCCGUCAAUUCCUUUGAGUUUUAAUCUUGCGACCGUACUUCCCAGGCGGGGUACUUAAUGCGUUAGCGUCGGCACUGCAGGGGUCAAUUCCCGCAACACCAAGUACCCAUCGUUUACAGCGUGGACUAC
rnacentral:misc_RNA from 1 species